AGAGUUUGAUCCUGGCUCAGAGUGAACGCUGGCGGCGUGCUUAACACAUGCAAGUCGAGCGAAUUUUGGCAGCACACCGCCAGAGUUAGCGGCAGACGGGUGAGUAAUACUUAGGCAAUCUACCUUUGAGUGGGAGACAACCUGCCGAAAGGCGGGCUAAUACCCCAUAAGACCACAGGAGUGCAUACUCUAGGGGUCAA
rnacentral:rRNA from 1 species